GCGUGCUAAGCGGAAAUUUUUAGGAAAUUUGAGAAGAAGUUGAUUGCCUAUGUGUUCCAUAUCCCCUCAUUAUAGUCUUGAAAUUUUCAAAUAGAUUAUGUGAAUUAAUUCAAGUACUACCUAUUUACUUUAUUAGCUAUGGGUGACCCGCUCCUUUUCCUCCAAUCUAACUCAGCCACCCGGUUCUGACUUUGUCGGGAAAUAUAUGUACACGACUCAGUUGCUUGUAUUCCAAAAUUAUUAUGGCUCCCAAGAAUUGGUCAUCCUUUUUUUCAGAACAUUUUCUCAUUACUUGGAUUAUUUUGCACAAGUUCUCCCGGAACAUUCUUUGAAGGAGACAAGAUCACUGCAAGGGACCUUUUUAAUAAAAGUUUCAUUUUGAUUAUAUUUUUCUAGUCACUCCAAAAUAAUAAAUGCUUAUUAUGUUGUAAUUCGUUUAAAUAUAUAACACAAU